GAAGAUGUGGGUCCGACUCCUACAGCUGACUAACCUUUUUAGUGACUUCCAUAUUUCAUCAUUAAUUUCUUAGGCACUUGGGGCCUUGAUAUCGAUGGUCGCUACGAAACAUGGAAACUUACCCGUAAAUUGUUGAAGGAUUACGCCGACGAGAUGAAGCAGCGGAUCGGGAAAGAACGAGAGGAGGCUCAGCGUAUGUAUGAAGAGACAGCGAAAAAGAUGACUGAAGAGGAGCACACUAAAUACAUCGAAGCGCUUACUGCUAUGGCCAAAACACACAGCAUAUAUAUCGAAAAGAUGAGAGAGUCUAUGGAUAAAGAAACAUUUUAUGGUAUCGUCGGUGACGCUGUGGUUGCCGGACUAUCCUUUCUCCCAGUAAAAAAAGGACUACGUUCGCUGGGAGAUUUCUAAGUAUCUGCAUGGGAAGGAGCUACU